rnacentral:rRNA from 1 species
CCUACGGGUGGCUGCAGUGGGGAAUAUUGGACAAUGGGGGCAACCCUGAUCCAGCCAUGCCGCGUGUGUGAAGAAGGCCCUCGGGUUGUAAAGCACUUUCAGUGAGGAAGAACGCCUGGUGGUUAAUACCCAUCAGGAAAGACAUCACUCACAGAAGAAGCACCGGCUAACUCCGUGCCAGCAGCCGCGGUAAUACGGAGGGUGCGAGCGUUAAUCGGAAUUACUGGGCGUAAAGCGCGCGUAGGUGGCUUGAUAAGCCGGUUGUGAAAGCCCCGGGCUCAACCUGGGAACGGCAUCCGGAACUGUCAAGCUAGAGUGCAGGAGAGGAAGGUAGAAUUCCCGGUGUAGCGGUGAAAUGCGUAGAGAUCGGGAGGAAUACCAGUGGCGAAGGCGGCCUUCUGGACUGACACUGACACUGAGGUGCGAAAGCGUGGGUAGCGAACAGGAUUAGAUACCCCAGUAGUC